UACGUAGGGGGCUAGCGUUGUCCGGAAUCAUUGGGCGUAAAGAGCGUGUAGGCGGUCCGGUAAGUCCGCUGUGAAAGUCGGGGGCUCAACCCUCGAAUGCCGGUGGAUACUGUCGGGCUAGAGUGCGGAAGAGGCGAGUGGAAUUCCUGGUGUAGCGGUGAAAUGCGCAGAUAUCAGGAGGAACACCUAUUGCGAAGGCGGCUCGCUGGGCCGUUCCUGACGCUGAGACGCGAAAGCUAGGGGAGCGAACAGG
rnacentral:rRNA from 1 species